UACAGAGGUCCCAAGCGUUGUUCGGAUUCACUGGGCGUAAAGGGUGCGUAGGCGGACCUACAAGUGCUUUGUGAAAUCCCAUAGCUCAACCAUGGAAUUGCUUGGCAGACUAUGGAUCUUGAGGUCGGUAGAGGCUGCUGGAACUCUAGGUGGAGCGGUGAAAUGCGUAGAUAUCUAGAAGAACGCCAAUGGUGAAGACAGGCAACUGGGCCGAUUCUGACGCUGAGGCACGAAAGCGUGGAUAGCAAACGGG
rnacentral:rRNA from 1 species